rnacentral:lncRNA from 1 species
CACCAUAGUCUGUUACAAUUGCAUAUGUAUUGAGUAAUUUAUUUAAAGGAACUGAUAUAUAAGAUACUUUCUAUGGUUCAAAUAAAAAUAAACUUAUAUAUUUAAUUUAAUUAAAAAUCAACAUAUUUAUAAGUUAUAAAUAUAUGCGUUAUAAGGUUUCAAAUGGUGAUCAUUGUCCCGUCGCGUCCCGCAGUUAACAGUAACAAAAACAUCUACAUUUACUAUAUAUCAAUACAUUUUUAUAACUGCUAGAACCGCACCGCAGUUGAACCGCUUGUCCCGCAUCGCUCAAAC